CCUAGACCAUCAUUGCUGCUAAUGCCAUCGCUCGCUUUCAGUGUCAUUGAAGCUCUCAAGGUGGAUAGUUUGCAGAAACUUUGCUCAUCAUUGGAGCCCAUACUUCGGCGUGUGGUUAGUGAAGAAGUGGAGCGAGCUUUAGCAAAAUUGGGCCCCUUCAAAAUUACUGGGAGGUAUGCUAUUUUUUAGCUAUGUGGAACCAUAGU